GACGAACGCUGGCGGCGUGCUUAACACAUGCAAGUCGAGCGGUAAGGCUCCUUCGGGAGUCCACGAGCGGCGAACGGGUGAGUAACACGUGAGUAAUCUGCCCUUCACUUCGGGAUAACCACCGGAAACGGUGGCUAAUACCGAAUACGACCAGUCUUCGCAUGAGGUGCUGGUGGAAAGUCUUUUCGGUGAAGGAUGUGCUCGCGGCCUAUCAGCUUGUUGGUGGGGUAAUGGCCUACCAAGGCUUCGACGGGUAGCCGGCCUGAGAGGGUGACCGGCCACACUGGGACUGAGACACGGCCCAGACUCCUACGGGAGGCAGCAGUGGGGAAGAUUGGACAAUGGGCGAAAGCCUGAUCCAGCAACGCCGCGUGAGGGAUGACGGCCUUCGGGUUGUAAACCUCUUGCAGUACCGACGAAGCGCCCUGUCGGGUGGUGACGGUAGGUACAGAAGAAGGACCGGCCAACUACGUG
rnacentral:rRNA from 1 species